GACGAACGCUGGCGGCGUGCUUAACACAUGCAAGUCGAACGGAAAGGCCCUGCUUUUGUGGGGUGCUCGAGUGGCGAACGGGUGAGUAACACGUGAGUAACCUGCCCUUGACUUUGGGAUAACUUCAGGAAACUGGGGCUAAUACCGGAUAGCAGCUCCUGCUGCAUGGUGGGGGUUGGAAAGUUUCGGCGGUUGGGGAUGGACUCGCGGCUUAUCAGCUUGUUGGUGGGGUAGUGGCUUACCAAGGCUUUGACGGGUAGCCGGCCUGAGAGGGUGACCGGCCACAUUGGGACUGAGAUACGGACCAGACUCCUACGGGAGGCAGCAGUGGGGAAUAUUGCACAAUGGGCGGAAGCCUGAUGCAGCAACGCCGCGUGCGGGAUGACGGCCUUCGGGUUGUAAACCGCUUUCGCCUGUGACGAAGCGUGAGUGACGGUAAUGGGUAAAGAAGCACCGGCUAACUACGUG
rnacentral:rRNA from 1 species